UGGUGGCUCACUGGUGUCUACGGCCCCCAAGAGGAUGAGGCCAAGCUCGACUUCCUCGCCGACCUCCACGACGUGCGUGAGACGCGCAUUGGGCCUUGGCUCCUCGGCGGUGACUUCAACAUGAUCACUUCGGCUGCUGACAAGAAUACCCCGAACCUAAACCAUCGCGUCAUGAGCAGAUUCCGGUGCUUCAUUGCAGACGAGGAGCUCCGAGACAUGUACUUGCACGGGCGCCGCUACACUUGGUCCAGUGAGCGUGACACGCCUACCCUCGUGCGGAAUGAUCGGAUCCUUUGCACGUCCGGAUGGGAGAUUGCCCACCCGCAUUGCCUUCUACAUUGUCUCUCCUCCGCGGCGUCCGACCACUGCCCGUUGGUUGUUGAUUGCGUUGCCCAUCCCGCAGGGGCGCGCCGUUUCCACUUUGAGCGUUUCUGGCCGAAGCUCGACGGAUUCCACGACACGGUCUCGGAGGCCUGGAACUCG
rnacentral:rRNA from 1 species